rnacentral:rRNA from 1 species
AGCGAACGCUGGCGGCAGGCCUAACACAUGCAAGUCGAGCGGACGUAGCAAUACGUCAGCGGCAGACGGGAGAGUAACACGUGGGAACGCGCCCUUCGGUUCGGGAUAACUCAGGGAAACUUGGGCUAAUACCGGAUACGCCCUUACGGGGAAAGAUUUAUUGCCGAAGGAACGGCCCGCGUCCGAUUAGCUUGUUGGUGAGGUAACGGCUCACCAAGGCGACGAUCGGUAGCUGGUCUGAGAGGAUGACCAGCCUCACUGGGACUGAGACACGGCCCAGACUCCUACGGGAGGCAGCAGUGGGGAAUAUUGGACAAUGGGCGCAAGCCUGAUCCAGCCAUGCCGCGUGGGCGAUGAAGGCCCUAGGGUUGUAAAGCCCUUUCGGCGGGAAAGAUAAUGACGGUACCCGCAGAAGAAGCCCCGGCUAACUUCGUGCCAGCAGCCGCCGUAAAAC